CUAUGAAUGGACGAAAGCUCGAACAUACUUGCAUGCGACACAAGCACACGAAAUUUCAGAGACAUGAAUAAGGAGGGAACACGUUUACCCGGACAUUUAUUUAUGCAUGCUUAAAAUCUCCUUGAAAUCUAUGAUCUUCCGGUUCCUGUCGGACGGAAAGCUGCUUAAACCCGCACCGAAAGUGAGCAGUUGUCACUUGCUAAUUGC
rnacentral:lncRNA from 1 species